rnacentral:rRNA from 1 species
UAGUCCACGCCCUAAACGACGUUCACUCGAUAUUUGCGAUAAACAGUAAGUGUCCAAGCGAAAGCGUUAAGUGAACCACCUGGGGAGUACGAUCGCAAGGUUGAAACUCAAAGGAAUUGACGGGGGUCCGCACAAGCGGUGGAGUAUGUGGUUUAAUUCGAUGAUACGCGAAGAACCUUACCUAGGCUCUAAUUCUAUAUGCCAGGUCCUGAAAGGGAUUUUUUCUUCGGAACAUAUAGGAAGGUGCUGCAUGGUUGUCGUCAGCUCGUGCCGUGAGGUGUUGGGUUAAGUCCCGCAACGAGCGCAACCCCUGUCUUUAGUUGCCAGCGAGUAAUGUCGGGGACUCUAAAGAGACUGCCUGCGCAAGCAGUGAGGAAGGAGGGGACGACGUCAAAUCAUCAUGGCCUUUACGUCCUGGGCUACACACGUGCUACAAUGGUCUGUACAGAGAGUUGCUAACUGGUGACAGUGUGCUAAUCUCUAAAGCAGGCCUCAGUUCGGAUUGG